rnacentral:rRNA from 1 species
GCGAAUACCGAAGAAUGUUAUCACGGGAGACACACGGCGGGUGCUAACGUCCGUCGUGAAGAGGGAAACAACCCAGACCGCCAGCUAAGGUCCCAAAGUCAUGGUUAAGUGGGAAACGAAGUGGGAAGGCUCAGACAGCCAGGAUGUUGGCUUAGAAGCAGCCAUCAUUUAAAGAAAGCGUAAUAGCUCACUGGUCGAGUCGGCCCGCGCGGAAGAUGUAACGGGGCUAAACCAUGCACCGAAGCUGCGGCAGCGACACAAAGUGUUGUUGGGUAGGGGAGCGUUCUGUAAGCCUGCGAAGGUGUACUGUGAGGUAUGCUGGAGGUAUCAGAAGUGCGAAUGCUGACAUAAGUAACGAUAAUGCGGGUGAAAAACCCGCACGCCGGAAGACCAAGGGUUCCUGUCCAACGUUAAUCGGGGCAGGGUGAGUCGACCCCUAAGGCGAGGCUGAAAAGCGUAGUCGAUGGGAAACGGGUUAAUAUUCCCGUACUGGUGGUAACUGCGAUGGGGGAACGGAGAAGGCUAGGUUGUCCGGGCGACGGUCGUCCCGGUUCAAGCAGGUAGGCAGAGUGAUUAGGCAAAUCCGGUCACUU